AAGGGCGACUGAACUGUCAUGAGCUCACCGUGUGAAUCAGCGGCGCCGAAUUGUGGUCUGGAGGUGCAUGCACUUUGGCAAAGUCCCUUGGAAGAGGGCAGCGCAGAGGGUGAUACUCCCGUCUGCCUGGUGCCACUGAUGAGUCGAGUUGUUUGGGAUUGCAGCUCAAAGCCGGUGGUAAAUUCCAUCGAAAGCUAAAUAUUGGUGGGAGACCGAUAGCGCACAAGUACCGUGAGGGAAAGAUGCAAAGAACUUUGAAAAGAGAGUUAAAGAGUGCCUGAAAUUGCUGAAAAGGAAGCGAAGGAAAGUAGUGAGGUUGCGCCAUACUUCCCGACCUGCUUGCGGGUAGGGCGCUGUGGUCAGCGAGGUUUGUUUUGGU
rnacentral:rRNA from 1 species